rnacentral:rRNA from 1 species
GGGGAAUUUUCCGCAAUGGGCGAAAGCCUGACGGAGCAACGCCGCGUGAGGGAUGAAGGCCUCUGGGCUGUAAACCUCUUUUCUCAAGGAAGAAGACCUGACGGUACUUGAGGAAUAAGCCACGGCUAAUCCCGUGCCAGCAGCCGCGGUAAUACGGGAGUGGCAAGCGUUAUCCGGAAUUAUUGGGCGUAAAGCGUCCGCAGGCGGCCUUGUAAGUCUGUUGUUAAAGCGUGGAGCUCAACUCCAUUUGAGCAAUGGAAACUACAAGGCUUGAGUGUGGUAGGGGCAGAGGGAAUUCCCGGUGUAGCGGUGAAAUGCGUAGAUAUCGGGAAGAACACCAGUGGCGAAGGCGCUCUGCUGGGCCAUAACUGACGCUCAUGGACGAAAGCCAGGGGAGCGAAAGGGAUUAGAUAC